GGAAUGCUCACCCGGCAGUGUGCAGGCCUGGCAGGGCUGCCUCUAAACCCAAAUUGCAGUCCCCAAGCACGUGCGCUUGCUCUGCCUGAGAUCUCCAAUGAUGCUGCUUUGGCGGGAGUACUGAUUCUAGCCAGUGAUUUAUCAUCUGUUUACUCAGAGAAACUGCUUGUUCAUUUCUGCUGGUGGGAAGGGAAGGAGGGAGGGAGGGAGGUGAACGUGUGUCCUGUGAGCUGCAGAGGUAGCCGGCAGGGAUGACUUAUACACUCCCCUCGAUGGGUGACCUCCAUUCACUCUUCCUCCCCGCCUCUCCGCCUGAUGAGAAACAGAAUGUGCUCCCUCCCCCCUGGGAGGCUUCAGAUUCAUUUUCUGCUCAGACACCGUUGCUUGCAAAAUUCCACCCAGAAGAUAAGGGAGGGAGUAUCGCUGCAGCGUCCUGCUCUGUGCCUGGUUAUAUUACUGGAUCCUUGUGUUGCAGCCCUAAGAUAGAAGGAUUGUCUCCAUUUCACAGAUGAGAGAGAACUGAUGCGCAGGAGGCUGAAAUUGUCUGAAGUCACACAGCAGCCUCCUCUUAAACAUGACAAAGAAUCCAAGGACUUGUGCUGGGGCUGUCAGCUGCUAUUCUGGUGCCCUGGGGACGAAGAAGGGAUCUGGAGGGAAGACUGUCACCCUCUUGCGAAUGUUUCCAAGAAGCAGCUCAGCAUGGGAGAGAAAAGGGGAGAUCCCAGUUCCAGGAACACCUGGCCAGUGUUUCACCUGUUUAUCGGAGUUGACAGGACCAGCCAGCCCUUUCCCACCUCUCCCCAUCAUGAUGGAUGGGAGCCUGGCCUUUGAGAAAGCACAGAACGUGGCACGUUGGAGGAAAUCAGUAAGUGUUUGCUAAAGGUCCAACAAUGAAACAGAACAGAUAUAUCCAGUGCUAUGCCGCGUCAAAAGAGUAUGAGAGGUAUUGUGGUGAUGCUUUUGAAUGCUAAUCAGAAUAAGGAGGGUGACUAGUCCAUAGUUAUAUAGAAUAUAGGAUAUACAGAAUAUACCUUUUUCUGUAACGGGAUGUGUCACUUAACUUUGUUCCUUAAAGCUCCAGAAGCCCAAGGUCACCCACAAUGAUUCAAGUAUUAUCAAUGUUGAGAGCCUGUAAAAGCAUCAAGUAUAUUAUAGUUUCCAAAAAAUUGUGAAUUAGACUGAAAACCAGCAUUUAAAAAAUAAAGUGAUGUUGACUUAAACACUGGUUUUAUAUACAUGCCGCAUAUGAGCUGUGGAGGCCGCUCACAUGCCAGCGUACUGGUUCAUCUGCAAUGGGCAGGCGGGCCAUACCCCACUGGGGAGAAAUCUUAUGGGCUUCAGAAAUGUCUAAUGAAAUAAGAUUUUUAACUAGUUCAAAAUCGGAGUUCAGAAACAGUUCAGUUAAUAUUUAAGUGUCGAGUUAAGAGAGGAGGUUGAACAAAAUUCAUUUUGAAGCUUUCACAGAGUUUUUAAAAAGCAAAACUUUAGACUUAAAAUGGACUGUUUUAUUAUAUGCAAUGCACGUGAAUAUUAAAUGUAUGUUAAGUUUUUCAUUUAGCAGAUUUCUCCCCAGACUUUUAAAACCACCACCAAAAAAUAUUUACAUAUUCUCUCCUCUCCCCCAAAGCAUCCCUCCCGUACACAAAUACCCUUAUUUUGAGACCGUGUUGCUCUAGAUUAAACCAGUUCUUCCAAGAGCAGCCCGUAGGAUUCUGCUCCAUCCAGAGCAAGGCCCUUGGCUAAAGUCACUGCCUCUGCUUGACUGAGCCGGGCUGGGAAUCUCAUUAUGGAAGCUUUCCACCUCCUUCCCAAGCCAGCCCUCUAGCGGAGGCCAAGAUUGCGUCAUCGGUCCUGGGCCUCAUCCCUCCUUGCCUGAGGCCUGCUCACCUAAUGUGUUUCAGGAGCAUUCCAGCAGCCAGGCCUUCAGUUGCUCCCCGAUCCCAGAUGGGGAAAACCUUGUGCGGCACAUUUGCCUCAGGAAGACUGCACUGGGCUCCCCGGCGCCCCUAGGACAGCGUCCCUUCACGUCGGAGAGACUGGGUGUGGGCCGUGAGGUUUAGGAGGCUUUAGGAGAAGGAAGAUCCUCUCUCAGGAGUGAAAUGAUCUUAUCUGAGAGGAUGGAAGUGGUGAGGGCAUCAGCAUGGGUCCUGGGCUGCGGCUGUGCCUCUUCCUCCCCAUGCUGACACGUGCUUGCCCACAAGCGCCCCGGGCCUCUACAUCUCUUGGUAGUUUAAAGCUCUAUUUUAGUCUCAACUAGCAGUUUCUCUCACUGGUAGAUCUAAGUUCUAAGACUAUUCAAUGGGUUCUGUUUCUUUUUUUAAGAAUUAAAAAAACUGUUCCAGUUAAUUCACGGUCACUAUGAAAAAAAUAGGCAGGACAUGUAAAUAAAAGAUUAAAAUAUAUACAAAUCAAAGAAGGAAGUACACCCAGGCCAGUUAUCAGGCAAGCUUGCCAGACAUCAAUCCAGCAAGAAAACGAUAGUGUGCUUUGAAAAUGCCAAAUCCGGCCGGGCGGGCGGCUCCCGCCUGUGAUCCCGGCACUUUGGGAGGCCGAGGCGGGCGGAUCACGAGGUCAGGAGAUCGAGACCAUCCUGGCUAACACGGUGAAACCCCGUCUCUACUAAAAAUACAAAAAAUUAGCCGGGCGUGGUGGCGGGCGCCUGUAGUCCCAGCUACUUGGGAGGCUGAGGCAGGAGAAUGGCGUGAACCCGGGAGGCGGAGCUUGCAGUGAGCCGAGAUGGCACCACUGCACUCCAGCCUGGGCAACAGAGCAAGACUCUGUCUCAAAAAAAAAAAAAAAAAAAAAGAAAAAGAAAAGAAAAUGCCAAAUCCGGCCAGGUGCGGUGGCUCAUGCCUGUAAUCCCAGCAUUUUGGGAGGCCAAGGCGGGUGGAUCACCAGAAGUCAGGAGUUCAAGACCAGCUUGACCAACAUGGAGAAACCCCGUCUCUACUAAAAAUACAAAAUUAGCUGGGCAUGGUGACGCAUGCCUGUAAUCCCAGCCACUCGGGAGCCUGAGGCAGGAGAAUCACUUAAACCCAGGAGGCAGAGGUUACUGUGAGCCAAGAUCGUCCCAUUGCACUCCAGCCUGGGCAACAAAAGUGAGACUCUGUCUCAAAAAAAAAAAAGAAAAAAGAAAGAAAAAAAGAAAAUGCCAAAUCCAUUACUUCUUUGGGAACCUCAGGUGUAACCGCUGGUGUGCUGUGGAUGACACAGCAUCACUGGGAUCUGGUGCCUGGUAUGAGCUGUGUGAAGGAGUAGGAGUGUGCUCACCCAUCCGCAGGGCCACCGUUGGUCACUGUCCUACAUUUUCC
rnacentral:lncRNA from 1 species